GGCGGANUUCGUCGUGUAGCGGUGAAAUGNUUAGAUAUGACGAAGAACUCCGAUUGCGAAGGCAGCUGACGGGAGCGCAACUGACGCUGAAGCUCGAAGGUGCGGGUAUCGAACAGGAUUAGAUACCCUGGUAGUCCGCACAGUAAACGAUGGAUGCCCGCUGUUGGUACCUGGUAUCAGCGGCUAAGCGAAAGCAUUAAGCAUCCCACCUGGGGAGUACGCCGGCAACGGUGAAACUCAAAGGAAUUGACGGGGGCCCGCACAAGCGGAGGAACAUGUGGUUUAAUUCGAUGAUACGCGAGGAACCUUACCCGGGCUUGAAUUGCAGAGGAAGGAUUUAGAGAUAAUGACGCCCUUCGGGGUCUCUGUGAAGGUGCUGCAUGGUUGUCGUCAGCUCGUGCCGUGAGGUGUCGGCUUAAGUGCCAUAACGAGCGCAACCCCUGUCUUUAGUUGCCAUCAGGUUAAGCUGGGCACUCUGGAGAUACUGCCACCGUAAGGUGUGAGGAAGGUGGGGAUGACGUCAAAUCAGCACGGCCCUUACGUCCGGGGCUACACACGUGUUACAAUGGCCGGUACAGAGGGACGGUGUAAUGUAAAUUGCAUCCAAUCUUGAAAGCCGGUCCCAGUUCGGACUGGGGUC
rnacentral:rRNA from 1 species